AUGGUUAAGUUAGAAAGGGCGCACGGUGGAUGCCUUGGCACUAGGAGCCGAUGAAGGACGGGACGAACACCGAUAUGCUUCGGGGAGCUGUAAGCAAGCUUUGAUCCGGAGAUUUCCGAAUGGGGAAACCCACUGCUCGUAAUGGAGUAGUAUCCAUACUUGAAUACAUAGAGUAUGAGAAGGCAUACCCGGGGAACUGAAACAU
rnacentral:rRNA from 1 species